AGAGUUUGAUCCUGGCUCAGGACGAACGCUGGCGGCGUGCCUAAUACAUGCAAGUCGAGCGGACAGAAGGGAGCUUGCUCCCGGAUGUUAGCGGCGGACGGGUGAGUAACACGUGGGUAACCUGCCUGUAAGACUGGGAUAACUCCGGGAAACCGGAGCUAAUACCGGAUAGUUCCUUGAACCGCAUGGUUCAAGGAUGAAAGACGGUUUCGGCUGUCACUUACAGAUGGACCCGCGGCGCAUUAGCUAGUUGGUGGGGUAAUGGCUCACCAAGGCGACGAUGCGUAGCCGACCUGAGAGGGUGAUCGGCCACACUGGGACUGAGACACGGCCCAGACUCCUACGGGAGGCAGCAGUAGGGAAUCUUCCGCAAUGGACGAAAGUCUGACGGAGCAACGCCGCGUGAGUGAUGAAGGUUUUCGGAUCGUAAAGCUCUGUUGUUAGGGAAGAACAAGUGCGAGAGUAACUGCUCGCACCUUGACGGUACCUAACC
rnacentral:rRNA from 1 species